rnacentral:ncRNA from 1 species
CCAGAGACAAGGAAGGGCUUACAGUGGAUACCUAGGCACCCAGAGACAAGGAAGGGCGUGGUAAGCGACAAAAUGCUUCGGGGAGUUGAAAAUGAGCAUAGACUCGGAGAUUCCCGAAUAGGUUAACCUUUUUAACUGCUGUUUAAUCCAUGGGUAUGCAAGAGACAAUCUGGCGAACUGAAACAUCUUAGUAGCCAGAGGAAUAUAAAGAAAAAGUGAUUCCCGUAGCAGUGGCGAGCGAAAUGGGAGCAACCUAAACCGUGAAAAUGGGGUUGUGGGAGAGCCCAAUAUAAGAUUUGUGCUACUAGGCGAAGCAGUUGAGUCCUGCACCCUAGAUGGUGAGAGUCUAGUAUCCAAAAGCAUCAUUGGGUUAUUCUCUAACCCAAGUAGCAUGGGGCAUGUGGAAUCCUGUGUGAAUCAACAAGGACCACCUUGCAAGGCUAAAUAAUCCUGGGUGACCGAUAAAGAAGUAGUACCGUGAGGGAAAGGUGAAAAGAACCCCCAUCGGGGAGUGAAAUAGAACAUGAAACCAUAAGCUCUCAAGCAGUGGGAGGAAAAUGAUAUCUCUGACCGCGUGCCUGUUGAAGAAUGAUCCGACGACUUAUAUGCAAUGGCUUGGUUAAGGGAACCCACUGGAGCCGUAGCGAGAGCGAGUCUUCAUGGGAAAAUUGUCACUACUUAUGGACCCGAACUUGGGUGAUCUAUCCAUGACCAGGAUGAAGCUUAGGUGAAACUAAGUGGAGGUCUGAACUAAAUGAUGUUGAAAAAUUAGCUGAUGAGUUGUGGUUAGGGGUGAAAUGCCACUUGAACCCAGAGCUAGCUGGUUCUCCCCAAAAUGCGUUGAGGUGCAACAAUUGAUUGGACCAUCUAGGGGUAAAGCACUGUUUUGGUACGGGCCGCAAGAGCGGUACCAAAUCGAGGCAAACUCUGAAUACUAUAUUGCCCCAAUAAAAGGGGUAAAGGUCAGCUAGUGAGAUGAUGGGGAACAAGCUUCAUUGUCAAGAGGGAAACAACCCAGAUCAUCCGCUAAGGCCCCUAAAUGACUGCUCAGUGAUGACGGAAGUAUGAGUGCAAAGACAAGAAUGAGGUUUGUCUAGAAUCAACCAACCUUGAAAGAGUGCGUAAUAGCUCACUGAUCGAGCGCUCUUUCAUCGAAGAUGAAUGGGACUAAGCAAUUUUCUGAAGCUGUGGGAUGUAAAAAUACAUCGGUAGGGGAGCGUUCUGCCUCAGAGGGAAGCAUCGGCGCGAGCAGGUGUGGACAAAGUGGAAGCCAGAAUGUUGGCUUGAGUAACGCAAACAUUGGUGAGAAUCCAAUGCCCCGAAAACCUAAGGGUUCCUCCGUAAGGUUC